CUACGGGGUGCACCAGUGAGGAAUUUUGCGCAAUGGGGGAAACCCUGACGCAGCAACGCCGCGUGAGCGAAGAAGGCCCUCGGGUCGUAAAGCUCUGUCAAGUGGGAAAAAAAUUUUUUGAUCAAUAGUCAAAAGACUUGAUGGUACCACUGGAGGAAGCACCGGCUAACUCCGUGCCAGCAGCCGCGGUAAUACGGAGGGUGCAAGCGUUGUUCGGAUUUACUGGGCGUAAAGAGCGUGUAGGCGGUUUAGCAAGUCAGAUGUGAAAGCCCUGGGCUCAACCCGGGAAGUGCAUUUGAAACUGCUUCACUAGAGUAUGGGAGAGGAGAUUGGAAUUCCUGGUGUAGAGGUGAAAUUCGUAUAUAUCAGGAGGAACACCCGUGGCGAAGGCGAUUCUCUGGACCAAUACUGACGCUGAGACGCGAAAGCGUGGGGAGCAAACAGGAUUAGAUACCCCCGUAGUC
rnacentral:rRNA from 1 species